AGUGAACGCUGGCGGUAGGCCUACCACAUGCAAGUCGAACGGCAGCACAGUAAGAGCUUGCUCUUACGGGUGGCGAGUGGCGGACGGGUGAGGAAUACAUCGGAAUCUACUUUUUCGUGGGGGAUAACGUAGGGAAACUUACGCUAAUACCGCAUACGACCUACGGGUGAAAGCAGGGGAUCUUCGGACCUUGCGCGAUUGAAUGAGCCGAUGUCGGAUUAGCUAGUUGGCGGGGUAAGGCCCACCAAGGCGACGAUCCGUGGCUGGUCUGAGAGGAUGAUCAGCCACACUGGAACUGAGACACGGUCCAGACUCCUACGGGAGGCAGCAGUGGGGAAUAUUGGACAAUGGGCGCAAGCCUGAUCCAGCCAUACCGCGUGGGUGAAGAAGGCCUUCGGGUUGUAAAGCCCUUUUGUUGGGAAAGAAAAGCAGCAGGUUAAUACCCCGCUGUUCUGACGGUACCCAAAGAAUAAGCACCGGCUAACUUCGUG
rnacentral:rRNA from 1 species